AACACAUGCAAGUCGCACGGUCAGCAAUGGCAGUGGCGGACGGGUGAGUAACACGUAGGAAUCUAUCCUGGGGUGGGGGACAACAGCGGGAAACUGCUGCUAAUACCGCAUGAUACCUGAGGGUCAAAGGCGCAAGUCGCCUUGGGAGGAGCCUGCGUCUGAUUAGCUUGUUGGUGGGGUAAAGGCCUACCAAGGCGACGAUCAGUAGCUGGUCUGAGAGGAUGAUCAGCCACAUUGGGACUGAGACACGGCCCAAACUCCUACGGGAGGCAGCAGUGGGGAAUAUUGGACAAUGGGGGAAACCCUGAUCCAGCAGUGCCGCGUGUGUGAAGAAGGUCUUCGGAUUGUAAAGCACUUUUGGCAGGGACGAUGAUGACGGUACCUGCAGAAUAAGCCCCGGCUAACUUCGUGCCAGCAGCCGCGGUAAUACGAAGGGGGCUAGCGUUGCUCGGAAUGACUGGGCGUAAAGGGCGCGUAGGCGGCGCGUACAGUCAGAAGUGAAAUUCCUGGGCUCAACCUGGGGACUGCUUUUGAUACGUGCGUGCUUGGGUGAGGAAGAGGGUUGUGGAAUUUCCAGUGUAGAGGUGAAAUUCGUAGAUAUUGGAAAGAACACCGGUGGCGAAGGCGGCAACCUGGUCCUUUACUGACGCUGAGGCGCGAAAGCGUGGGGAGCAAACAGGAUUAGAUACCCUGGUAGUCCACGCUGUAAACGAUGUGUGCUGGAUGUUGGGAAACUUAGUUUUUCAGUGUCGUAGCUAACGCGAUAAGCACACCGCCUGGGGAGUACGGCCGCAAGGUUGAAACUCAAAGGAAUUGACGGGGGCCCGCACAAGCGGUGGAGCAUGUGGUUU
rnacentral:rRNA from 1 species